CUAGCCUCAGGAUUCCCUAGCCAUGCCCUCUGAAUACACGGAUACAUGACAGUAAAAAAAUUAUAAGCAUAGCUAGUCAUAGACUUUUAUUAGGCAUUCAUAAAUCACAAAAAAUAAUCACAUUUACAAUCAUUUAAACACAAAAUAGAAUCACAAGAAACAUCACAACCACGUUCAUUUAGCCAAAGAACAAAAUUACUUCACAUUCACAAUCAUUUGGGCACAAAACAAAAUCAAAAAAUCAUCACCACUAUUAGAUUUGGUGGUUGGGGCCCGGAUCCGCCCAGGAGCUCCAAAUCCAGACGACGCAUGCAAGCUUGGGCCGAUGGAGGUGUAAGCGGAGGCACGGGUGGUAGUAGAGGCGGCGGAGCCCACGGGUGGUGGCGUAAGCGGCGGCCGGAGGUGGAGGGCUCCGCCAUCAGGCCGCCACCGCCUCUCCUCCCGUCGUUGGUUGCCACCGUGCCACGGCUCCAGAUCCGUCCGAUCCCACCGCACCUCCCCUCCCGCCCCUGCUUGGCCGCCGCUCAUGCACAUAGAGAGAGGGAGAGAUAGAGAAAUGGGGAAUGGGAGANNNNNNNNNNNNNNNNNNNNNNUGUGGGCCCCGCUGGGAGAAAAUAAAAUAUCCUCCCUCACCUCAAACGGGUGAGAGCUUAAACCCGUUUGAGGUGAGUAAACCUCAUCUCUGACGGGUCCCGCUGGGAGAAAAUAUAAUCUCCUCCCUCACUGUUAUGACUUCAUCUGUGACGGGUCGGAAAACAAAUCCGUCACAGGUGGCGGCCCAUCACCUGUGACGGCUUAUAAUGUUGUGGCCCGUCACAGGUGAGAGGAUAUCAGUGACGGGUUGGUCGGGAAAUCCGUCACUGAGUCAUCUCUGAUGAUUUUUUCUUUAAAACCGUCACAGGUGAGGGGAUACCUGUUACGGGCUGCGGCCGGAUGGCUCACCGAUGACGGCAAACUAAAUGAUCCGUCAAAGGUAACCGGUAUCUCUGACUAAUCCUUAGGU
rnacentral:lncRNA from 1 species